GACGAACGCUGGCGGCGUGCUUAACACAUGCAAGUCGAACGGUGAAGCGCCUUCCUUUUUGGUGGGUGUGGAUGAGUGGCGAACGGGUGAGUAACACGUGAGUAACCUGCCCCCUUCUUCUGGAUAACCGCAUGAAAGUGUGGCUAAUACGGGAUAUUCUGGGUCUGUCGCAUGAUGGGUCUGGGAAAGAUAUUGUUUCGGUGGGGGAUGGGCUCGCGGCCUAUCAGCUUGUUGGUGGGGUGAUGGCCUACCAAGGCGGUGACGGGUAGCCGGCCUGAGAGGGUGGACGGUCACACUGGGACUGAGACACGGCCCAGACUCCUACGGGAGGCAGCAGUGGGGAAUAUUGCACAAUGGGCGCAAGCCUGUUGCAGCGACGCCGCGUGAGGGAUGGAGUCCUUCGGGUUGUGAACCUCUUUCGCCAGUGAAGCAGGCCUGCCUCGUUUGUGGGUGGGUUGACGGUAGCUGGAUAAGAAGCGCCGGCUAACUACGUG
rnacentral:rRNA from 1 species